rnacentral:tRNA from 1 species
GCAUCGGUGGUGGUUCAGUGGUAGAAUGCUCGCCUUGUCACGCGAGCGGCCCGGGUUCGAUUCCCUGCCGAUGCA